AUUUAAACGCAUUUAUAAAUCUAAACUAAUAUUUAACCUUGUUUAAUUAUUAAAUCUAAACCUUAACCUUCCUAAUAAAUUUAAACCGCUAUAUGAUUUUAUUUUUGGUGGUAGAUAAGAUUUAAUAGUUAAAUGAAUUCAAUUUUGUUUAAUUUAACUGACAAAUUCUAAUUGGAUAAAAAAAUGGGGUGCAUUUUUCCAAAAUUAUUAGUCACACUGGUAAUUAUUGACAAAUCCGUGUGUUGCCUUUGUGUCCUCCCGUGACACUUCUAUCGCCAUAGUGCGACCUAUUACUGCAGUAUGCAGCCUUUUUCCUGAAGCUAUUAGGUUUCCCUAUGGCUCCUAUGCCUCCUUUAGACCAACUCCAACGGGAGUUUCUCAUAAAAUUUCUCACCAAUAAAAUAAGAAAAAAAAUGUCAAAAGGAGGAAAGAGGUAAGGGAAAGUUUCUCUUUAGAGAAACUCAUCGACAACGUUUCUCACAGUUGUCAUUCAAUCAUUGGUUUAAUUAAAA
rnacentral:sRNA from 1 species